rnacentral:tRNA from 1 species
UGAUGUAGCUCAGUCGGUAGAGCAACUGAUUCGUAAUCAGUAGGUCAAGGGUUCGAUUCCCUUCAUCA